UACGGGGGGGGUAAGCGUUGUUCGGAAUUACUGGGCGUAAAGGGCGCGUAGGCGGCUCGGCACGUCCGUUGUGAAAUCGCCCGGCUCAACUGGGCGGGGUCAGCGGAUACGGUCGAGCUUGAGCAAGCUAGGGGGUAAUGGAAUUCCCGGUGUAGUGGUGGAAUGCGUAGAUAUCGGGAGGAACACCAGUGGCGAAGGCGGUUACCUGGGGCUUUGCUGACGCUGAUGCGCGAAAGCGUGGGGAGCGAUCCGG
rnacentral:rRNA from 1 species